GACAGCUACGUGGAAGAAGAAUCGACAAAGAAAACUGACAGUUAGUUUUCCGCUUGUCUUUACACGCAUUGUUAUUGUGUGAGUGUGCGAAUCAUGACUACAAUGUUUACAAUCCAAGAGCUGUACAGUAAAUUAAAUAAGAUUCGGUGCUUUCAAAUAAAAUUGGAUAGAAAACUGAAAAAGUUUUGUAAUUUGCAUUACAUACAGUGCAUCACGGUGCCGCAUCGUACCAGCAGGUCGAUAAAUGUUGUGAAUGAAGGAACGGCGGUAUAUUAGGAAUGGUUGUUUGAGCAGCACGAUGGCAGCGAAGCGGUGAACCAACGCCACUUUGUUGGGCGGUGGAAGUAAAUGUAGUAGCCACUGAUAACCGACAAGAAUAUUUUGGUGAUGAUGAAGUGUACCUCUGUUUGGAAGGUCUAUUCGACGAACAAUUCAUAUCGCCGGUGAUUAGCUACGAGGUAAGCGGCAUAGGUGUGCUUCUUCAUGCCGUAUGAUUAAACAUCCCUUCGCCACUGGGACACCGUGUGACGGAACCGUUCAAAACUAGCUUGAAGCUGCGCUAGCUUGUGAUGAAGUCUCUCCCGACGAAGGUGUGCGCAAGCUACUUUGUACCCCGGCUGCUGGUGAUCUAGGAACGGCAGCCCAGGAUUUGAGGAGUCAAGUCAUAGACAACAUUAACAAUAUAUCGUUGCCAAACGCGGAAUCGUACACGGACGCAACGCCGCAGCUGACCCUCAGUUUUGGAUUUGUUACUCGUGCUGUUAGAUGUGUUCCUCGUUUUUACAUAUUCCCUUACGAAAUCUUAUAAACUAUACCGGUUUCCGUUCGAAGAAAGAGGACUACAUUUAAAUUCUGCCAACGAUGGGUCGUUCUGGACAGAUUGACUAUUUUGCCGUGAAAUCUCACAUCGCCUCCUAGUUUAAAAGUGUACCAACAUACACACAUCGAUAUCGUUAAUCGGCAUUUUAUCCAAUGUUAGCCAGCGACGUCUGGACAUUCGGACAGCUCCAUGUUUGGCAUUAUGUUCCCCUAAGUGACGCAACGUGUUGGAACAUAACCACCGGAUAGACAGAUGGCCCCACGACGACCAGAGAUCGGGAGUUCAGCUUUAACCGUCGACCAGUUUGGUUCAUUUUUCUAUUAAAAUUACAUAUUUUAAAAUUAAUAAAUUGUAAAAAUUCAAAAAAGCAACUAAAAACUAAAGCAAAUACUAUAAUUAUAUCUAAUAUACACGUACAGACAGACAAGCAGACUGAUAGACAGACAAAAAUCAAUGCAAGAAACAUUAUUUAACUUUGAUUAUUAAUAUUCUGAGCGACAUUUGCCUAAAAUACUGAUUAAACAUACUAUUAAAUUGUAUGAGAAGCAAAACAUGUAAACAAGUUUUUCAUAUUAUUACCCGAUAACGUUGAAAGAUAUUUUAAAACUAUGAUAAAGCAAACUGAAAGAAACUGUGACUCUAAAGACACUUUGGCCUAAACAACCAACCACUACGGCCUAAAUAGGUGGCCUAGCAGUGGUUGAAGAACUGAAAAGCAAAUGGCAACAGUUAAAGGAAGCAUGCAGCAGCCUUCCUCGUUCUACGCCAUUACAAUUUUCUUGUUUAAUAUAUAGUUACGUGCCUAGCUACCGCCAUGACUACACGUGCACCCCAGCAGCACUAACGUAACGCUAAUGUGUUGCACAGCCGGUAACAGCAACCUGAUUCCGGCGAGUGACCAGGCGCAUCCGAUAAGAACAUCAGCACUAAUCGAAACAGUCAGCUAACCAACCAGCCAACCAGCCAACCAGCCAGCCGGCCAGCGAGCCAGUUGACGAUCAGUCAAGCUCCAUACCGACAGCUUAGUUCAGUUUUAGCACUCCACUAGUAAAGAAAAACGUUUUUUUUUUUAACUUAUUUACUCGCUCGUGUCUUUAGUUACACACUUGUCACCGAACGUUCAUUCGCGAGGAAAGCUAUCCACUAAUUCUCUCUCCCCUCAUCUAGAUUUUUGUGACCGCUUAGGUUUUGAACUAGUGAUACGAG